CCUACGGGCGGCAUCAGUGGGGAAUAUUGGACAAUGGGGGCAACCCUGAUCCAGCCAUGCCGCGUGUGUGAAGAAGGCCCUCGGGUUGUAAAGCACUUUCAGUGAGGAAGAACGCCUGGUGGUUAAUACCCAUCAGGAAAGACAUCACUCACAGAAGAAGCACCGGCUAACUCCGUGCCAGCAGCCGCGGUAAUACGGAGGGUGCGAGCGUUAAUCGGAAUUACUGGGCGUAAAGCGCGCGUAGGUGGCUUGAUAAGCCGGUUGUGAAAGCCCCGGGCUCAACCUGGGAACGGCAUCCGGAACUGUCAAGCUAGAGUGCAGGAGAGGAAGGUAGAAUUCCCGGUGUAGCGGUGAAAUGCGUAGAGAUCGGGAGGAAUACCAGUGGCGAAGGCGGCCUUCUGGACUGACACUGACACUGAGGUGCGAAAGCGUGGGUAGCAAACAGGAUUAGAUACCCUUGUAGUC
rnacentral:rRNA from 1 species